rnacentral:rRNA from 1 species
CAGUCGAGGGGCAGCACGAUUGAGCUUGCUUAAUUGGUGGCGACCGGCGCACGGGUGCGUAACGCGUAUGCAACCUACCUCAUACUGGGGUAUAGCCCGAAGAAAUUCGGAUUAACCCCCCAUAGUAUUAUAUAAUCGCAUGGUUUAAUAAUUAAAGGUUACGGUAUGAGAUGGGCAUGCGUCCCAUUAGCUAGAUGGUGAGGUAACGGCUCACCAUGGCGACGAUGGGUAGGGGGCCUGAGAGGGUGGUCCCCCACACUGGUACUG